GCCGCAGUGGCUCUGUGGCUAAAGUGCUUAGCUCCUAACCAAAAGGCGGUGGUUCAAACCCACCAGCUGCU
rnacentral:tRNA from 1 species